rnacentral:misc_RNA from 1 species
GAACUGAUAAAGUAUCGAACAAAAAUGAGAGAUAUAGAACCUGAGGCAAUAUGAUAUAAAUUUUCAUUUCCUAUGUUAAUAUCAUAUUCAUUGAGAUUUAAUCAUUAUAAUUUUUCAAAAAAUUUUUUCCUAUUUGAGCUUUCAACAACGGAGCAAUGUUUGCAUAAAUGACAAUGAGAUAAAUUCCACACAGAACUUUAAAAGGUUAUGACAAACCAGUUGCAAAGUCUUCAAAUUCAU